CCAGAAACUAUGUCCUUGUCUUGAGAGCUGUUACUGGUUACACCCAUGACCUGAAGAAAAGUUGUCCAUGGACCCUCCCAGCGCUGUGCCCUACGCCCGCCUGGAGAUCCCCGACCUCGACUCCGUGCCCUCCUACAAGUACUGGUCCAUCUUCAACAUCCUGUGCUGCUGCCUGCCCCUGGGGCUGGUCGCUAUCUUCUACUCGGGACAGUGCUGUUUCUGGGGCUGAUCCAGAGCAUUGCUGAAGACCAGCAUCUCCCUGACUUCAAUAGGAGCCACAGGUCCUCAGCACUCUUGGAAACAAGCAGAGAGAUUGUGGAGGAGUGCCUAGCACGCAGAGACAUCACAGGAGCAAAGGCAGCCUCCAACACUGCAAGAACCAUCAACAUCCUCGCCGUGGUGAUCGGGCUGGCAUGCAUUAGUGUGACCAUAUUCUUUAUGAUCCAGAGAUUUGAGCUGCUCCAAGCAGCACAACCCACCCAGUUUCCCUUACAUUAUAAUUUCGGCUGA
rnacentral:lncRNA from 1 species